rnacentral:rRNA from 1 species
UACGAAGGGGGCUAGCGUUGCUCGGAAUCACUGGGCGUAAAGGGUGCGUAGGCGGGUCUUUAAGUCAGGGGUGAAAUCCUGGAGCUCAACUCCAGAACUGCCUUUGAUACUGAGGAUCUUGAGUUCGGGAGAGGUGAGUGGAACUGCGAGUGUAGAGGUGAAAUUCGUAGAUAUUCGCAAGAACACCAGUGGCGAAGGCGGCUCACUGGCCCGAUACUGACGCUGAUGCACGAAAGCGGUGGGGAGCAAACAGG